ensembl:lncRNA
AGGGAAAUGACCCCCACUCGCGCCUGGGAGGCGGUGAGUGGCACAGGCAGGUCGCACCCUCUACGGGCCCCCUCGGUUACGCUGGCCGUGGGCAUCCUGGAGCCUCGGAGCAUCAGCCUGCGCACGAAGGUGGCCCGGCUACUUUUUCAUUCAUAAAAUCUCGACCGGGCGGUUGCCCGGAUGAUUUAUGAGGCCGCGCGCUGUCACAGGCGGCGCCCGUCCCUAGGGGCGAAGGGUCCGAGUCCCGCGUGCGCCAGGCCCAGGCCAAGACUCGCAGGGAUCGAACUUGAGACCUUGCACUUGUGAGACAGGCAUCGGAACCACUGAGCUAAAUCCCAUGCCAACAAGAUGGUGAAAGGAAAUUUUUUUUUUUGUUACCAGAGAUCAAACUCAGGACCUUGUGCUUGCAAGGAAGGUGUGGUGCCACUGAACUAAAUCCCCGGCCCCCUGUCACCUUUCAAAAGCCCCACUUAUGAGUACAUGAGGUGCUCACGGUACAUCUAGAUAUAAAAUCACAGCAGGCAUGGUUACCUGUAACCAAAAACUAGCACGAGGGCACCAGCUUGGAGCACACUUGCAGGCUGCAUCAUAUGAGCACAUUUCCAGGUAUGAAAUAUACAAGAUGCACCCUAGAACAAACCCAGGUCUGAGAAGAGGGGAGUGGUGAGCCUGGACAUGUCCACAGGAUGCAGGAGCACGAAGUGAAAAGAGCCAGACAGCGCAUUAGCAAAACAGAAG